rnacentral:rRNA from 1 species
UGGAAACUGUNUGACUUGAGUGCAGAAGGGGAGAGUGGAAUUCCAUGUGUAGCGGUGAAAUGCGUAGAUAUAUGGAGGAACACCAGUGGCGAAAGCGGCUCUCUGNUCUGUCACUGACGCUGAGGCUCGAAAGCGUGGGUAGCGAACAGGAUUAGAUACCCUGGUAGUCCACGCCGUAAACGAUGAGUGCUAGGUGUUAGGCCCUUUCCGGGGCUUAGUGCCGGAGCUAACGCAAUAAGCACUCCGCCUGGGGAGUACGACCGCAAGGUUGAAACUCAAAGGAAUUGACGGGGGCCCGCACAAGCGGUGGAGCAUGUGGUUUAAUUCGAAGCAACGCGAAGAACCUUACCAGGUCUUGACAUCCCGAUGCUAUUCUUAGAGAUAGGAAGUUACUUCGGUACAUCGGAGACAGGUGGUGCAUGGUUGUCGUCAGCUCGUGUCGUGAGAUGUUGGGUUAAGUCCCGCAACGAGCGCGACCCUUAUUGUUAGUUGCCAUCAUUAAGUUGGGCACUCUAGCGAGACUGCCGGUAAUAAACCGGAGGAAGGUGGGGAUGACGUCAAAUCAUCAUGCCCCUUAUGACCUGGGCUACACACGUGCUACAAUGGUCGGUACAACGAGUUGCGAGCCGGUGACGGCAAGCUAAUCUCUGAAAGCCGAUCUCAGUUCGGAUUGGAGGCUGCAACUC